rnacentral:tRNA from 1 species
UCCUUCGUGGUGUAAUGGUCAGCACGCUCGGCGCGUAUUCGAGAGGUCCGUGGUUCGAGUCCCGGCGAGAGCA